CCUCCGAGAGCGCAGCGGGCUUAUAAAGAGGAACUCACAUAGACUCUCAAACACACUCAAUUUUUUCCCUCCUCUGAGAAGAACAACAGCCUGUCUUUUUCUUCCCCCAUUCAGAAAUUCCCAGCCAAGAUGAGACUGUACCUGUAGUUGACACUGCUGGUGCUGGCUUUGCCGCAUUCCACAGGCUCAGGAGGCGGAAGCGACCAUGGAGGAGAAAUUUGCUGUGUUCACAAACCAGAUGGGUGAGAUGGGCAAGAAACUGGCAGACAAGGCCCAGAUAACCUUUGAAGACAUCAGAAGCAGCGAAUUUAUUGCCAGCUCACAGACCUGGUUGGAGCAGCAGAUUGAAAAGGUGAAGCAGAAGUUCAGUGACAUCAGCCAGUGAAAUGGCUGACUUCACCUCUGACCUCUGCACACAUUGCUCUGCUGACCAGACACAAUAUCUAUGUUGCCUCUCUGUAAAGAGAUGUUUUUUUUUUUAUAAUUUCAAUAUAAUGUUUUCGAAGAACCACUGUGAAAAGUUUCAAUAAAGACACUGGG